rnacentral:rRNA from 1 species
CCUACGGGAGGCAGCAGUAGGGAAUAUUGGACAAUGGACGCAAGUCUGAUCCAGCCAUCCCGCGUGAAGGAUUAAGGCCCUCUGGGUUGUAAACUUCUUUUCUUUGGGAAUAAAAAGCGGUAUUCAUAUCGCCUUGAAGGUACCAGAGGAAUAAGCACCGGCUAACUCCGUGCCAGCAGCCGCGGUAAUACGGAGGGUGCAAGCGUUAUCCGGAUUCACUGGGUUUAAAGGGUGCGUAGGUGGUCUGUUAAGUCAGCGGUGAAAGCCUGGAGCCCAACUCCAGAAUUGCCAUUGAUACUGACGGACUUGAAUCAAGUUGAGGUGGAUGGAAUAUUACAUGUAGCGGUGAAAUGCUUAGAUAUGUAAUAGAACACCAAUUGCGAAGGCAGUUCACUAAGCUUGCACUGACACUGAGGCACGAAAGCGUGGGGAUCAAACAGGAUUAGAUACCCUGGUAGUCCACGCCCUAAACGAUGCAAACUCGACAUUAGCGAUAUACAGUUAGUGUCCAAGCGAAAGCGUUAAGUUUGCCACCUGGGAAGUACGACCGCAAGGUUGAAACUCAAAUGAAUUGACGG